CUGACUAAUCAUACUAGCCAUACUCCUAGAUUCCUAAAUGCUUGAGGGGGAGAGUGAAUUGCUUGCCGCCUGGGAUGAUAAUUACCCUUCCGGGUUUAAUUAGCCCCGGGUAAAUCCCGUGCCCACAAGCGGGGGUAAUUCCGAAGGGACCUACCUUGGUCCGAAUUACUGGGCGUUAAGCGCCCCUUAGGGGGUUUUCCAAUUCAAAGUUAAAACCCCGGGCUCCAACCCCGAAAUGGCUUUGAAAAUUAAUUACUUGAAUUCCAGAAAAGUUAAUGGAAUUCCCAAUUUUAAAGGUAAAUUCCGAAAUUUUCCGAAAAACACCCAUGGGCAAAGGCGGUCACUGGACUGGUAUUGAACCCGAAGUUCCAAAACCUUGGGAACAAACCGGAUUAAAUUCCCUGGUAAUCCCACCCCUAAAACAAUAAUAAUUACUUUCCCGGCCCCUUGGGUUUUGGUGGGGCCACUUACCCCUUUAAUUAUCCCCCCUGGGAAUUCCGGCCCCAAAAUUAAACUCAAA
rnacentral:rRNA from 1 species